rnacentral:rRNA from 1 species
UACGUAGGGGGCAAGCGUUGUCCGGAUUUAUUGGGCGUAAAGAGCUCGUAGGUGGUUCGGUAAGUCGGAUGUGAAAUCUCCAGGCUCAACCUGGAGGGGUCAUUCGAUACUGCCGUGACUAGAGGUCGGUAGGGGAGUGUGGAAUUCCUGGUGGAGCGGUGAAAUGCGCAGAUAUCAGGAGGAACACCGGUGGCGAAGGCGGGUCUCUGGGCAACAACUGACGCUGAGGAGCGAAAGCGUGGGGAGCGAACAGG